rnacentral:lncRNA from 1 species
CAUUCUGGAACAAGCUGAGCCUCCCCCUAGCAUCACAGACCACUUAUCUUCCCAUCAGAGGAUCUCAGAAGCCGAGUCAGGAGAUACCUGUGGGAUGUGAGACAUGACAGAGCAAGGGCUUCUCCAGCCUGCUUCUCAUCACCACAGAUGGGGGAUAAGCCACAUUGCUUCUACCUCCACAUCAGCCAUACAACCCACGAAAUGGACUAAAAUUUCUAAAACUAAGACUAAAGACUUCAGAGAAAACAAUUUUGAACACAAAGAAAUAAAAGGAGAUCCUGCAUCUUUGAUGCCUUCCUUAAGGAGAGAAAACUCAUGGAUCAUUUCCUCACUGAUCCCUGCACUGUGGAAUAAUGGAUGACAAUCUUCCAGAGUAAACCAGAACAACAAAGGCCUAGGAGAUGAAGCUGGGACCCAAAGGAACCCUUUCUCACUCAGUAGUGGAUAGAGAGGCAAUGGAGGUGAAAACACCCAGCUGGGCCCCGAAACUCAGAGGUUCCUGCCGCCAGGCCUAUGCCCAUCCUGUGUCUCUUGCCCACCCUUUAGGCUCAGCUCAGUCCAGAGCCUACAGAGAUCUCUAGUUUCUUUUGCUUGAAAACAAACCAUUUCCACUGCUGGCCACCCAGGAUCCUCUCUCUCUCUC